AACCUGCCCAAGAGAUCGGGAUAACACCUGGAAACAGAUGCUAAUACCGGAUAACAACAGAUGAUGCCUAUCAACUGUUUAAAAGAUGGUUCUGCUAUCACUCUUGGAUGGACCUGCGGUGCAUUAGCUAGUUGGUAGGGUAACGGCCUACCAAGGCGAUGAUGCAUAGCCGAGUUGAGAGACUGAUCGGCCACAUUGGGACUGAGACACGGCCCAAACUCCUACGGAGGCAGCAGUA
rnacentral:rRNA from 1 species